UAAACCAGGAUUAGAUACCCUAUUAUAUUUAAACAAAUUGGGUAGUAUUAUUAAUAAAAACCUUUAUACUUUGGCGGCAUUUUAUCUUAUUAGAGGAAUAUGUUCAUUAAUCGAAACCACACGAUAGUUUUUACUUACUAUAAAAUUUUAUAUACCCCCGUCUAAAGAAUUUAUUUAAAAUUUUUAUUCCAAAUUAUAUUAAAAAAAGUUAGGUAAAGGUGUAGACUAUUAGUAAGAUUAAAUGUAUUACAUUAAAAAAAAUUUAAGGAUAAAACAGUUAACUGUUUAUUAAAAGAGGAUUUAUAAGUAAUUUACUUUUAAUAAAAAUUAAUGAAUAAGAAAAUAAAUGUGCACAUAUCGCCCGUCACUCUCACAUAUAAACCAGGAUUAGAUACCCUAUUAUACAUAUCGCCCGUCACUCUCACAUAUAAACCAGGAU
rnacentral:rRNA from 1 species